rnacentral:lncRNA from 1 species
AUAGUUGAUUGAAUCAAGAACUCUGAUCUCACUAAUAAUUGGUCAGGGAAGCGAUGCUUUUUAGAACCAGCUCUGGAGCAUCUCAGAAGCUAGUCUAGGGUUUAAUUCUCGAAAGCUUGAAGACCGGUUCCUAAUCGUCGCGUCCAUGGAAGAGAGGAUGGAGUUGACUGAACGAAAUUGCUGACGGUGUAGUCUCAUAUUGCUCUCCGACCAGAUUGAAUAAAUCGGGCACUGCCAAACUAAGAUAGUAAGUUUUUUCUGCAAUUUCGAUCCCAGAGUUGUUGCAUAUCUUUUGUUCUUAGUUACUAAAGCAAUCUCUUGUCGACAACACACCUAUCUUUUAUUUGAAUCCAUUUUUUCGAUUCCCAAAAUCAUUAACAAUAAAAUUAAGAACACACCAAGACAUUGUCUCAAUUAAAUGAUUAUUAAUCAAAUUCAUUGGUUAUUAACAUAGAUAUAUGAAAAGAUUGUUCAACAUAUAUGAAAUUACUUAAAAUGCAAACAAAAAUUUGCAGACACAUAAACCAAAACAUUAAAUAAAACAAUUGAAAACAUUGACAAAAAAAAAAAAAAAAAACAAUUGAAAACUCUUGAAUUUUCAUUAGGACCACAACAAAUAAAGGCAUCCGUACCUUGUGAGCUUGUUUGUUAGAAGAAGCAAACUCUUGAGUUCCUAAAGGAAUAAGAUUUGUUUGUACUAACAUAAGUCAAAUUUGUUCAGUCUUCAAAAGAAGCUACAUUCCCAACAUUACCUCAAGCUAUAACAAAAAAUUAAAAGGUCAAUAAGACGAUUAUAAUCAAGUAAAUAGAUAUUGAUAUUAAUCGUGUUAAAAAACCAAGAUCAAUAUUUUCUCACGUAUCAUAGCUUCUGCCCUUACGGAAAAUAUAGAAUUCUCGAUUCCAGUGGAGAAUCAGAUUGUCUUAUACUCAAAGAUGCUAAAUUUGGUCGGUCUUCGAAAACAUUACAUUCCUUCAACUGUAACAAAAAAUAAGAUACAUGUCAAUAUGAUGAUUAGAAUCAUAAUAGCCCCGUUAAUUUUGUAUUUGCAAGAGAUCUAAAAACAAUAAUCCUCACAUUUGAACUGUCCUAAGCCUAACUUCCGUAUAAUAAUAAACAUAAAGCGAAUACACAUAAAGCGAUGCAAUUUGACUUUGUUAUAAACUCACAUUUUGUUUCUUUGUCACAUAUGAGGUUAGUAGUAUCUUAACUACAUGUAAAGAUUGGAACCAGUAUCUCAAGACGUUUUGUACGGCUUCACAUCAUCAAGGAAAGCAAUUGAUUGAGACAUUGUAAGAAAGAGAGGAAUGAGUCAUUGGUGUGAAUAGAGGUAAGUUCUGGAUGAGUAAGAACUGAGAAAAAAUGUUUGAUAUUUAUAGUGAAUUAGAAGGCUAGGGUUGUUAGCUCAAAAAAUUUCGAAAAUCUUGGAGACGAAGCAUAAAAUAUUGGAUAUGUUAACUUUCAUAUAUUCUUGAUUGAUAUCAAAUUAAAUGAUACACAAUUUUAGGGAAAAUACGGAUAUUGUAUAGCAGUUUAUGGUUAGGAUUAGAUUAGAUCAUAUAUUUUAGAAGAUUUGUUUAGUAAUUAGUCGAGAUUUGGAAAAUAUUUGUCAUAUUGUGAUCGAAUAUACCUUUAAUUAGAUACCAAAUAUGUUGAAUGGUUAGGAUUGCAUCUCUGUUUUGUGAAAAUGUUAAAACCCGAUUAGUGAUUCGAUUAAUGAUUUGGAUAUAUUUGAUUCAUUUAACACCCGAAUAAUUAACACGCGGAUCCUCUAAUGUUUAAUGAGAUUUUUGACCAAAUUACCCCUGACGAUUUUGAUUAACAAUGUACAAAAUCCAAAAUUGAAAUUGAAAUUGAGGCCAAAUUAGACUAUUUUUCAAUUUGUACUUCCCUUUUAAUAAUAAGGGGAUAGAAUAAUUUUUAGUUUAGUUAUGAUUUCAAUUUUGUUUCAUGCAAUUUCGGUUUAGUUUGAUUUGACUUUCCGUUUGGUUUUAGUAAAAAAAAUUAAAACAUACAUUAUACAAUUACAAUUUGAUGAAAAAAAACUAGUUAAUUUUUGGAAGUUAACUUUGACGGUUGAUUUUAUUCUUCUUCCCUCUCUUGAAAGACUAUAAUUCCGUAUGGAACUGAACUUUAAAAUCGGAAUUAUAGUCUUUCAAGAGAGGGAAGAAGAAUAAAAGACUAAAAAGCAGUAAUAUUAUUGAUUUUGGAACUGAACUUUAAUAAACUAAGAGUUAAACAAAUCAAUAACUUAUUAUAUAAAGAUGAAAAGUCAACAAAAAUAAUCAAAAUAUAAGCAAAACAUAAGAAAAAUAAAAGGAAAAACGUUAGAAAAUAUAACAAAAGUUGAAGGUUCAAAUUUGAGAUAUCAAAUCAAAACAAUGGUUUUCAAUUAUUAAUUAGUAACUACACGAAAGGGAAAAGUAGCCAUCGUUUCCAGUUUUUAUUUUUUUAUCUUUGCUUUUGUCUAUCUAGUUUAUUUGAAGUUUUGCUCUGCUUUUGGAAUGGUAAUAGAUUUUCAGAUAUAUAUUUUUUUAAGUUUUGAAAAUUUUCUCUUUGAUUUUGAAGCGAGUUAGCGUCGGUUUAUAAACCGACUUACAGUAAUGCUGGUCCAUGAACUAAUAAAUGGCUCUAAAAAUGAGAAGCGUGUUACUAGUUAGUUAGAUUUUGAAGACUUGUCAAAUUUUCUCGACGCUUUGCUUCGAUUCCUUUGAAAUCGAUCGAUCAUAUGCUUCAGAUUAGGAUUUGUAUUUACAUUCAAAGGCGUAAUCAUAUCCCAGUUUGCUUGAUCGAUUCAAAUGCUUCUCUUCUCAAAUUGCGAGAUCUAUAAGAUAUGUAUAGUCGAAUUGUUUGAGGAUCGUUUUAUCUAGAAUAGAGGAAAUUGAGUUAUGCAAGUGAGUAAAUUAGGGUUUAUGUCAAACUUAUUCUUCAAUUUCGUUUAGAGAUUGAGUGUUUUCAGAUUUGAUGUUAUAAAAGUUGACUAGUAACACAUGUUAUAAAAGUUGAAUUGCACUCGAUGUUAUAAUUUGAUGUGUUUGCAGUAAAAAUUUAUGUGGUAAAUAUUUUUGGUAGUUAACAAUGUAAGUUGCGAUGAAAUUAAGAUUCAAUAUAUAUAUAUAUAUAUAUAUAUAUAUAUAUAUUUCUAUUUUGAUUAUUUUAUAUAGUUAUUUUUUGCGGAAUUAUAGAAGAUAUGUUGGAAUAGAUGACUUGGAACUUCAUCUUCGAGCCAUGCGCCAUGGCAUCGACCAGAAGUGGACGGAUAAGUCAGAAUGUGGUUUAAGGCUCCGUAGGCAUUGUGACUUGCAACUGGCUCAAUGUUUGCUUCUUCUUUUUUCCCUUCUCUCUUUUUGGUUAUAAAUGUUUGUUGAACCAAAAUACCAUAGUGAUAUUGAGUUUUGGGACAUAAUAAUUGCACUAGCGAUCCAAUUUUCUGAAAUCAUAUUUGACUUAAAGCCAUCAACUUGCUAUUAUAAGGAUAUAAGAUAACGAUUCCAACAAACAAAUUGAUCAUUAAUUCUGUAUAAGUUAUGAAACAUUACAUUAACCGAAAACUAAGAUCAUAAGGUUAUAUAUAUAUCAAGUUACUUUUUCUCUAAUUAAGGUUUUCAAAUCUCAUAAAAAACCACACUAAACUGAAGAUCCAGCCUGAAUCAGACCUCAUGAAUUAUUAUCCAUAACUCUCGGGUCACCACGGCUCCUGACCUCCUAGGCUCCUACCCAUUUUAGGAUCCACCAAAACAAGAAAAGAAGCGAUUAACGCUACUUCCAGGAGUGGUAGGUUUGUGAUAUACGUGAAGCAAGGUAUUUACUAUGAAUAUCUUGAGAUUCAAAAUACGAAUGUUAUGCUGAGAGGUGAUGGUAAAGGGAAGACGAUUAUCACCGGACGCAGAAGUUUUGUAGGAGGAACGACCACGUCAGCUAGGCCAGGUGCAAACAACAGACAAGCGGUUGCUCUAAAAUCCAUGUGGAUCGAUCUGUUUUCUAUUAAUGCAGUUUUGAAGGCUCAUUUAUGUUUCACUCCAACCGCCAAUUUUACCGCAAUGGCGAGUAGAAUAGCGGACGAAUAUAGAUUGCAAUUCUGAAAGACAACCACCGCAUGACCAAAUAUAAAGUCUACCAUACCAUAUACGUCACAUGAUAGUGUGUACAUAUAAAAUAUCUUGGUAGCCAUCAAUACUGCACUUGUAGAAGAUCAAUGCCAUGACUUCCCCAUUGAUCGGACCAGUCAUGAUUUGAAUAGUCAUUUUACGCCGAUAAAGUUUAGGCCUAAUGCAGUUUCCCAUCCCAUUUUUACUCACAGUCAUAGACUCAUAGUGGCACUAAUUUUAAUGCCAUCAACUUCAUUUUUGAAAACGUUUUUGUUAGUUAGGCUGGGUUAUGCUCGAAAGUCAGCCAUUUUAUCAUAACUCAGACAGAUUUCAGUAAGUCAGCCGUAACUCCAGGCUGGGUUAUACUCGUAAGUCAGCCGUUUGCUCAUAACUCAGCCAUUUUUCUUAAAUCAGCCGCAACAUACCGUAACUCAGCCGUCACUGCCGCUAUAUCUUGAUUGGACGUAUUUCAAAUCUUUAGAAAUUUUUUUGCUUUGUAAAGACUCUAAAGCACUUGCCAAUCAAGCCCUACAAUUCUAUCCAUACGUUAGAAGUAUUGAUAACUUACCAAAAAAAGAGCAAAAAAUAAGAAAAAAUCAAGAAACAAAUAAGCAAAACAUAAGAGAAAAUUAAAGGACAAUGACAGAAAAUUAAAAAUAUAUUGAAUUAAAUUUGAUACAUCAAAAAGUAUGAUUAUAUGAAAAUAUCAACUACACUAAAAUUGUAGCAACACAAAAGCCUUCAAAAAGAAUUAUGUGUAUAACGAUCGUCCUUGUGUCAGGGAUUAGACUUGAUUACAUAUGAAAUGGCUAAUUAUCUACUUCUUGCCCAUGGUAAACUAAGAUCAGGAUUCAGUUUAUAUAUCUAGUCACUUUUUUCUCCAAUUAAGGUUUUCAAAUCUCAUAAAAACUACACUAAAAUUGAAAGAUUAAACAAUUUCAUACAAUACUCCAAAAAUAUAAAAUUACUAAAUUAUCCAUCAUUGAAUUUUUUGAAGCCUUUUUGUAGUGGCAUGGGUUAUAGAUAUUAUCAACUAAAGCUUCAUUUUAAUCGAAAAACUUAUCAAUUUCUAUAUAGACGGUUUCAAUUAUAACAUGUAUAAUAAUUUAGUUUGUCCUCUUGCAAACAAUACAAUUAAUCAGAGCAAACACAUGAUGAAGAUUUAAAAUUAAUUACGUGGUAACAUGUUAGAGAUAACAAGAGCAAUACCACAAAGAUUCUUAAUUGCUUUACUGUUAUUCACAACCGAAUAAUCUACUGAUCUCAAUCUCUUCACAUCAUCUAAACAUGUAUCAGCACCAUCCAAUGCAGC